AGGAAUAUUGGUCAAUGGGCGCGAGCCUGAACCAGCCAAGUAGCGUGAAGGAUGAAGGUCCUACGGAUUGUAAACUUCUUUUAUACGGGAAUAAAGUGGUCCACGUGUGGAUUUUUGCAUGUACCGUAUGAAUAAGCAUCGGCUAACUCCGUGCCAGCAGCCGCGGUAAUACGGAGGAUGCGAGCGUUAUCCGGAUUUAUUGGGUUUAAAGGGAGCGCAGGCCGUCCUUUAAGCGUGCUGUGAAAUGCCGCGGCUCAACCGUGGCACUGCAGCGCGAACUGGAGGACUUGAGUACGCACGAGGUAGGCGGAAUUCGUGGUGUAGCGGUGAAAUGCUUAGAUAUCACGAAGAACUCCGAUUGCGAAGGCAGCUUACCGGAGCGCAACUGACGCUGAGGCUCGAAAGCGCGGGUAUCGAACAGGAUUAGAUACCCUGGUAGUCCGCGCGGUAAACGAUGGAUGCCCGCCGUUGGGAUUUAGAUUUCAGCGGCCAAGCGAAAGCGUUAAGCAUCCCACCUGGGGAGUACGCCGGCAACGGUGAAACUCAAAGGAAUUGACGGGGGCCCGCACAAGCGGAGGAACAUGUGGUUUAAUUCGAUGAUACGCGAGGAACCUUACCCGGGCUUGAAUUGCAGGAGAACGAUCCAGAGAUGGUGAGGCCCUUCGGGGCUCCUGUGAAGGUGCUGCAUGGUUGUCGUCAGCUCGUGCCGUGAGGUGUCGGCUCAAGUGCCAUAACGAGCGCAACCCCUGUCCAUAGUUGCCAUCAGGUCGUGCUGGGCACUCUGUGGAGACUGCCGCCGUAAGGUGUGAGGAAGGUGGGGAUGACGUCAAAUCAGCACGGCCCUUACGUCCGGGGCUACACACGUGUUACAAUGGGGGGUACAGAAGGCAGCUACACGGCGACGUGAUGCUAAUCCCGAAAGCCUCUCUCAGUUCGGAUUGGAGUCUGCAACCCGACUCCAUGAAGCUGGAUUCGCUAGUAAUCGCGCAUCAGCCAUGGCGCGGUGAAUACGUUCCCG
rnacentral:rRNA from 1 species